UUUUAAGAAAGGAAUACUUUCUCCUCAGAGCCUUAAGAAUGUGUAAGAAGAGCAAAAUCCUAUUGAACUUGCAUAACUUUAUAGAUGAGGAAGAUUUUUACAUAUAUAAUUUCUUUCAAACUUUAUCAUCAUGAAAUACUUCCCACAUGCAAAGAAAUUGAAUAAUAUCAUCAACCUCCUUGUAUUUACCCUCCAGCUUAAGAAAGAGAGCGUCACAGAUGCUAUGGAAAUUCCCUAUGUACACACCCAGUCCUUCUGCCGCACUAUUCUGACUGUGGGUUCAACACUUCCAUGCAUGUCUCUAUAGGUUAGAGCAGGGAUCAUAAGUGUUUUCUAUAAAGACCAGAUAGUGAAUAUUUUAGGCUUUGCAGACCAUGUGGACUGUGUUGAAACUGCUGAACUCUGCUAUUGUUGUGUGAAGACAGCCAUAGAUAUGUAAGCAGAAGGGCAAAUUUGGUCUUUGGCAGGCUGGAUUUGGCUCAUGAAUCAGAGUUUACUGACUCCUGUAUUACAGCAUCAAUGAUAAUAUGUAGCAUUGUUUGUAUAUUUUUGAACUUACAUACAUUUUAUCAAACUGCUUGUAUUUUUCUGCAACCUGAUUCUUUUGCUCAAUGUGAUGUUUUUAAUUUUAUCUAUAUGAAUACAUAUAGUCCUAGUUCAUUCACUUUAAGUGCUGCAUAACACUUACGAGUAUACUUAUAGCAUUAUGCAUAUACUAUUUCUUUAUUGUAUCCAUUGUCUUGUUGAUGGGCAUUUAUACUGUUUCCAAUUUUUUACUAUUGGAAACGAUGCAGUGAGCAUUUUUGUCCAUGUCACCUAUUCAUAUGUGGGAAGACUUACGUGGUACGGGGACCAGAGUGUUAAGUGACUAGUCCUCGGUCAUACAUGAAGCUAUGAAAGGUCAGCACAGUUCUCUAACUUAAUCUUCUCAUGUCCCGUCCCCCAUGACAUUUCUACUACACCACAGCUGUUGUUUCUUUGUAUGUGUGGCCCUGCCAGGUGUGAUAGGGGGAUUCAAAAGAAAUAUAUGAUAUUUAAUCAUAAAUAAUUAUGAUUCCUGUCUUCUUCGAAUUUACAAUCUGGUGCUAUAGUGGGGAAGAUGACAGAUGUAGUGAAAUCAUUAAUUCCCACAUGAGGAGGAGAAAGAUAAAUGACGGAGGAGCGUCAUGGAGAAGUUGUGGCAGAUAUGGAAAAAAAAAUCUAUAGAGCUGAGAGCUCUAAGAGCACAUCUGAGCGUGCAAGGAGACAUAACUUGCCCACGAAAGGCAAAAUUGCAUAUUAUAAAGAUGUAAAUCUUCCUAGCUAAGUAUAUAGGUUUGGUGCAUCUCAAACUCCUAAAGAAACUUUUUUUAAGAAACUUUUUUUAAAAAAAAGAAUGUGACACAAGAUGUGAUGAUUUAUUACAGAGAAUAAAAAGAUGAGAAUAUGUUAGGAAAUACUGAAAAAGAAUGAACAAUAAUAGGGAAGGGUAAUAUUGGUACAAGAUAGGUCAAUGGGAAACUAAAUUCAGUGUCAUUAAAAGAAGGAGCAUAAAUCAGUGGGAAAAAGUAUUCAACAAGCAAUUCUGAGAAAACUCCCCUUUACCAUACACUAAAAAUAAAAAACAAUAAAAAUAGGCUUUAAAAAGUCUAAUAUAUUUAACUACAUACAAUGGAAAAACUUUUCAGGUAAAGAUAAUUAAAAGAAAAUAAAAAUGUUUGUAGUAAAUAUUCCAGAACACCACUACAUUCAAUAUGCAAAGAACUCUUCUAAUUCAAUAAAAGAAUGAACACUUCAUAGAAAAAUGGCAGAGGACAUAAACAGAAAAUGGAAAGAAAUUAGCACAUAUAGACAAUAAAGAUGUAAAAAAAAUUUCAACUCUACUAGUAUAAUCAAAGAAAUGCAAUUUAAUACAGUAAGAUAGGAUUUGUCACUUAUGAAAUUAGAGAAGAUUGUUGAAAGUAAUGCUAAUGAAGGUGUUGUGAGAAAGGCACCUUUAUUCCAUGCUGGUGGAAGUAUAAAUUGAAAAAAAAAUUACAGAAUGCAAUUUGGUAAUCUUUAAUGCUUUUUUUGUAUUGUCUGAAUUUUCUGCAGUGGGUCUUUUAUUUUAAAGCUAGUUUCAUUUAAAAAUAAAUUUUAACAACUUUUCAGGAAAACAAGGCAUGAAGGUGGGGAAGUCUGUGCGCAAAUUCAGAUAUUUUUCUUUCUUUGCUCUGAUUCUAAACUUUGUGUAUUAACACACACAUGAAUUCAUCUGAAUAGAAAUGAUGGCUUUCUGUGAUGUGGGCUUUCGCUACUAACUCUGGAGAAUUUUUAGGCUCUCUGUCUACAGUUUCUCAACAUUCAGUAUUUAAACAAAACCUUUUAACUGUAUUUCUAAGGAGGUGUUCUUCUGGUACAUGUGCUCAGUCAUCUCUGGCUGUGGCCCGUGCCUGACAGUGGUGACUUCCUUUCUCAUCUGCAUGUUCUCUCAUCCACAACGGACCACUUUCUCUAGCUGUGCUCUUUGACCCCAAGGAGAAUGAUCCAUGCUAUUCGUAGAGAAAGCCUAAGGGGCAAUGUAUAAUUUUGAUGAAAUGGAUACUGAUAAUAAGUAGUAAUACACUCAAUCCAGAAUAUUUUUUAUUUAAAUAUUAAAAAUCUUAAGCUCACUAGAUGUUUUUUAAAAUCCAAAUUUAUGUGCAUGUUUUUGUUGUAGAAAAGUAUGAUAUGAUGAUCAAUAACAGACAUUCAAGUAAUAAAAUAUGCUAUAUCAGAGUAAACUUCUGCAGUGAAGUGGAAUGAAAUGUGAACUCACAGAGGAAUAGGAAUGAUAAAAUUUUUUUCCAGAUGUUAAAGAACAUUUUUUUGGUAUUUCUUUGAAGGAUGAGGGAGGCUAUUAAGUUGCUGGGGUAUUUAAGAGUGCAUUGAAGAGUAGUUGAAUAGAUUUAAGAGUAAUGUAACAGCAUGUAAAAAUGUCAAUUUUUAUAUGUCAGAAGUUAAUUUUUUUGCAAAUUUUUAAGUGAAAAACUACAGAUAUAAAUCCAAAAAUGUGUUGAUGGAGUACAUUGUUUUUCAAACUUUUUGUAGGGAGUAAAUGAACAAAACUAUUCAAAGGCCACUGGUAUAAAGAAUACCCAUUGCUUAUUCUCAACCUAUAAAAUGACUCCUUAUAUGGAAGGGAGGAUUUGAGGGGGAAAAAAAAGCCUCCAGAACUAAGGUGUGGGGUCUCCUGGGAGUUAGUCUUCCCUUGCAGUUCUUCCCCCAACAAGGGGGUGAAGAAUAUUGGAGAAAGGAGGACAUAGAAGUAACCCUAAUUAAAGAAAUAAUAUAUAUGGAAACACUUGUCAAAUACUUGGGACAUGGUAGGUGCUCAUUAAAUGACAAGCCAAAUAAGGCUAAACUCACCAAUCCCAUUAAGGAGCUGCUAAGAGGUAAAGAUCUUACUAUUAUGAGAUGUGUAUUAGUGGGUUUACACUCCCAAAGCAAUCAUUACAUUUAUUCAUAGUUUGCCUAUAAUAUUACGUAGUUAAACAUUUUUCUUCUGUUAUUCGUUGAAGGCAGGGUUAACAAACUUUUUCUGCAAAGGGCUAGAUAGUAAAUGUUUUUGGCUUUGUGGGCCAUAUAUUGUAUAUUCCAACUACCCACCUCUGCCAUUGUUGGAGGAGAAAAGCCAUAGAUAUUCCAUAAACAAAUGGGUGUGGCUGUGUGCCAAUUACAUUUUACGAACACUUACUUUUGAAUUUCAUGUAAUUUUCACGUGUAGUCAAGUAUACUUCUUUUGAUUUUUUCUACCAUUCUGAAGUGUAAAACCAUUGUUAGCUUUCAGGCUACACAAAAACAGGUGGGUAGCCAGCUUUGGCCUGAAGGCAAUAGGUUGCCAAACCCUGGUUUAACGUACGGUGUUUAAGGGCCCUUUAUGCUAAGAAUGGGUAUAGUAUCGGAAGGAUACACAAGGAAUUGGCCAUUGUAGUUGUAUUUUGGUAAGGGAAAUGGGUAACAGAGCUGGAAGGAAGACUUAUUUUUCAGUGUACUGUUUGAUUUGCUUACCAUGUGCUUACAUUACCAUUUCAAAAAUUAAAGAGUUUCCUUUUCUUUAAGCCCCUUCAGGAAUCAUAAAUCCAUCAAACCUGGUUUGAGCAGAUUCUGCCAUGGAUUCUGGAUUCUGGAAGGCUUUCUUGUUAGCUAAUCAGGGGCACCCACAUAAUAGAUCUUCAGCCAGGGGUAAUAACCCAAAUGCUACAGAAUUAGAGGAAUUGGGCUUUGGGUGAGAGAUUGAUAAAUUAUGUGCUAAUAGGAGAAUCAUAUCCUUAUCUUGUGCCACUUCUAGGAGGAGCAUGCCAAAUGGCAGGGAAUUGGGCAGAACUAAGCAGAAAAAUAAUUAAUACAGAUUAUUUGAUUGAGCCAACAUUUCUUGAGGGCCUAUUAUGUGCCAGGCACUUAAACUAAAGGUACCAAGUUUAUAUGAACAUAUAAAGGAAAAUACAAGAAUCCAAAAUGAAGAUGAGUAUACACGGAAAAUAUUACAGAGCUAUCAUAUGGUAUGGAAGUAUGAGGAAGCUUGAUGAACAUGACUAAAGAUUAAAAAAGACAAAUGUUAGAAAAAGUUAGCACCGAAGGAAACCCAAAGGAAGAGUCAAACUACCAAAAUCUCCUAUUUUUUUUUCUUAAAGACCAAAGGAUAUGGAUCUUAUAUCACAGAGUAUACAUUUGGAUUGAAUAUUAGGAAAAAUUCCUGACUCUGUACAUUGUGGGUUCCUGGAAAUUAUUAUUAUGGUAAACUGUGGAAUUUCCUAUUCCAGAGGAGGAACUCUAUCUAGAAUAGUAGUUGUCUGAAUUUUGGGGAGGCUUUUCAACCCAUUUAUUAUACAAUAUGCAGACAUGUAUACACAAUUAUUAUACAUAAUUGAUAUAUUAAUAUAUACACAGUGAAUAUAUGCCUGUAUAAUUCAUGUACACGUAUUGAACGUUGAAUUUCCCUAGUCUGCAACUAGCUUGUGAGUAUGAAUGAAGUCUCAUUAACAGUAACAACUCAACUUUCACUGGUUUAUUCCUCAGGUCCUUUAGCUUUUCUGUCAAAGUCGAAGUAUUUCAGAAGUGCCUUAGGGUCUCCUCAUGUUUGUUCAUGAUCAGGUUUGUUCUGGCUGCUGCUUCCAUUACCUUUUGUGUCCAUGAGUGAGAACAGCGCCAGACCAGUGGUCACGAUUCCUCUGCUUCUCCGAGGGUUAUGGUGAUACCCAGCAUGCUGCUACUAUUACACAAUUGCCCCCAAAAAGGCCCUGGUCCUCUUGGGGUCAAAGUUCCACUGUGAUAUGUGGCAGAGUAGUGUGAGCACGAGGGUGGCGCUGAAAUGAGUCCUCUCUCCUACUUGUUGGAAGUAUUCUGUUGGAAGUGUCUACCUCUACUUUAUACAUCAAUGCUUCUAGAUUUCAUUUUUAUUUAUCGCCUUCCCUCUCACCUUAUGGUGGCAGGAAAGCCUUUUGAAUCCAGUAUGAGUUGGCCAAACGCUGUACUACAGUGAGAAUUACACAUUUCUCAAAGAAAUUUUGCUUUAGGGUGAAGGUCAUGGUUUUUGGCUCCACCUGACUUUAGAAUGGGUUUUUUCCCAACAGGCCCCUUGGCUUCCUGGGGAAUAGAUUCUGGUAGGGGCAUGCCAUUGGUUGACUAGAUGGACCCAGAUUUGUCUGCAUUCCCACAGUGGGCAUGGUUUGUAUCCUGUAGCAGGAGGUUCUCUCUCUUUCUUGCCCCUUCAACCACCCACUCUCUGGUGUCUUCUCUUCAAUUCAGAUGUACCCUAGAUUUGACCAUCUUUAGAAAUUGCCCUUGAAACUACAUCCUUCAUCAGCUACUUCCCUAUUUUCACUCCUUUUCACACCCAAACCUCUCUGUUAGAGCAUCCUGAUCUUAGGCUUCAUCAACAGAUUCAUGAUAAUCUGUAAUCACCUGUGUAUACAUGUGAUUAUUUUUUAAUGUCUCUCUUCUUCAUUAAACUUGAUGUCAUUGGUCACGGACACUUCUUUAUCCUUUUACUGUCUUAUCUCCAAAGAUCCAGCCCAGAGCCUAGUGCAGAAUAAGUUCCCAAUAAAUGCUUUCUCAAAGCAUGAAUAAAGGAAUGGAUGCAGCAGCAUAGUAUGGUAGACUACCUUAUCAGCAGCCCAGUAUAUCUGAAACUCACUUCUGCUUGAACUGGAACAUUCUGCUGAGUGAAAGAGAAAUAAAUAAAGACACAAAUAGUAGGGACAUUCUAAUGAAAUACAUAUUUGUCCAAUAGAAGCCCUAUAUUCUCUUCCUGAAUAGCAAAUAUAAAUAGUUAUUUAUUUGUAGACAAAAUGAUUUAUUGGUAGAGAUAAGAUAAAAAGGUUUGAAAAUCAUCCUCAGAAAACAGACUUGGAAAAGAGAUUCUGAUAGCACAACUUUUCAUUACUUGACCUUUCAAAUUACCUCUUCAGGAAAGUAGGAGACAUAUUGGGAGGAAGGAAGGCAGGAGGAAAAGAAGACCUAAAAAUAUAACUAAAAGUGGACAUUGCUUUUCUUGGGCUCUUGGAUUCAUUCUGGACAUUUCCUCAGGAUGAAACUUCAGACACUUUGAUUUUUUUUUCCUUUUUUUGAAGACCAUCAUAACGAAGGGGCAUUCUCAAAUAGAACAGUUUGGAUGGGAUCAAGAAUGAAUCUCAUCGAACACUCCCACUUACCUGUCACAGAAGAAUUUUCUCUUUCUGACAAUUUAUUUGGUAUGAGGUCUUAGGCAAAUGCCUCAACUUUAUGCAAGUGACUUGCUUUAUUUAAUCAAGUUCUCAGAAGAAUGCCUGGCACAUCAUAAGUGCUCUAUAACUAUCUGUCAUUGAUUAAUUCUC